UACGUAGGGUGCAAGCGUUGUCCGGAAUUACUGGGCGUAAAGAGCUCGUAGGUGGUUUGUCGCGUUGUUCGUGAAAACUCACAGCUCAACUGUGGGCGUGCGGGCGAUACGGGCAGACUGGAGUACUGCAGGGGGAGACUGGAAUUCCUGGUGUAGCGGUGGAAUGCGCAGAUAUCAGGAGGAACACCGAUGGCGAAGGCAGGUCUCUGGGCCAUUACUGACACUGAGAAGCGAAAGCAUGGGGGAGCGAACAGG
rnacentral:rRNA from 1 species